GUGAUUAAAAUAAAAAUGAAAAGUCGAUCAAAGUAUAAUUAGUGUAUUUAUUUUAGCGGUGCUCAUAAUAUAGAUUAUUUACCGCUGUCAGAGUAAAAACUAUAUUAAGUAAACUAAUCUUAUUUUUUAAGAGAAACAAUUCGUAAAAAAAUAUUAAGAUUUAACUAAAGAACGCAGGAAUUCCGGAACAUUUUCAAAAAUUGAAAAAGUUUUACUUUUUACUCAAAUAUUUCAAGAUUUGAACGCCUUUGUAUAAAGGAAAAUGGUCUGAUUAAAAAAAAAAUUUCGGAUGAAAGAUUUCUCCUAUUUACAGGGAAUGAAGAAAAUUUUUAAAAUUUUUAAGAGCAAUGUCUUCAACUGAAUACAAUUUGUGAUCAUUUGACAUAUCGUUGAAUGAAAUCGGUCCGAUGUGAGCUGAAUAAACGUGGAAAAAAUUCGUUAAUUUU